CACGUAGGGGGCAAGCGUUGUCCGGAUUUAUUGGGCGUAAAGAGCUCGUAGGUGGUUCGGUAAGUCGGGUGUGAAACCUCCAGGCUCAACCUGGAGACGCCACCCGAUACUGCUGUGACUGGAGUCCGGUAGGGGAGCGUGGAAUUCCUGGUGUAGCGGUGAAAUGCGCAGAUAUCAGGAGGAACACCGGUGGCGAAGGCGGCAUCCUGGACCGGCAUUGACGCUGAGGCGCGAAAGCCAGGGGAGCAAACGGG
rnacentral:rRNA from 1 species